rnacentral:rRNA from 1 species
GUAACACGUAAACAACCUGCCUUCAGGAUGGGGACAACAGACGGAAACGACUGCUAAUACCGAAUAAGUUCCAAGAGCCGCAUGGCCCAUGGAAGAAAAGGUGGCCUCUACCUGUAAGCUAUCGCCUGAAGAGGGGUUUGCGUCUGAUUAGCUGGUUGGAGGGGUAACGGCCCACCAAGGCGACGAUCAGUAGCCGGUCUGAGAGGAUGAACGGCCACACUGGAACUGAGACACGGUCCAGACUCCUACGGGAGGCAGCAUG